UACGUAGGGCGCAAGCGUUAUCCGGAAUUAUUGGGCGUAAAGAGCUCGUAGGCGGUUUGUCGCGUCUGCCGUGAAAGUCCGGGGCUCAACUCCGGAUCUGCGGUGGGUACGGGCAGACUAGAGUGAUGUAGGGGAGACUGGAAUUCCUGGUGUAGCGGUGAAAUGCGCAGAUAUCAGGAGGAACACCGAUGGCGAAGGCAGGUCUCUGGGCAUUAACUUACGCUGAGGAGCGAAAGCAUGGGGAGCGAACAGG
rnacentral:rRNA from 1 species